UCCUACUUUGUGUAUGUCUCAGUGCAUCUUUGCAGCAGCUUACACCUUGGAAGUUCUCAUAACACAAACAAGGUGAUGUACAGUUUACAAAUGAACAAAGAAUUAUACAGAAGUUCUGCAACAGCUUUUUCAUGCUUUGAAGCAACCUGGAGUUAAAUUUAAAAGGGAAUCCAAGAAAGUAAUAUCCAAUCUCUGCUUAUCAGCACCAGAUGAUAUGGGCAAUGUAGAUUUUUCACAGAGAAAUUCAUACCUUGAAGCUCAUUUUUGUCAUUCUAGAAAUGAAUAUGGAGAAUAUAUAAAAUCAUAAAGGUACACAGGUAAAAUGCAGGUAGUUUUUAAACUUCUAAAGCAUUUUGCCUUUUAUAACCAGUCUUCACUAGAGUACAUUUGUCAUUAUUACCCAUAACCCUGCUUUUCAUCAGGGGAUUAUUGGGAUCAUAAGAAAGCACUAGAUUAAUUUGCUAAGGGUUUGGGGAAAGCUAAAUGUCCAUGAAGGCAUCACUGAUGCUGUAGAAAGAUGCCCUCCAAAAGAAAAUUAUAUAUUUCUAAGAGAUACUCUCAUAAUCUUACAUGCAAUAAACUGCAUGGAAGUGUGGAAAGCUGACGGUUUGGCACUUAGUCCUGUUUCCCAAAGGCAUGAAUUUUAUAAGUUAAAUAUUCACUUUUUUUUUUUUCUUUUUACUAAACUGAAUAGCAGGACCUCUGUUAUAACUUAUCAUACUUCAGGUAAAUGUUUUUAUGUAGGUCUAGUAUUGUUUUCUAGUAUGUUGUAACUGGUGAUUUCCUCCAGAGAAGGAAUAUUUAUAAAUGCUCUUGGAAAAGACGUUGAUACCGUUACAUAUCUAUGUCUAUGUAGUGUGUGAUCUGAGAUUAUAAUUUAUUAUUUUCCUUGGAGCACAUCUAUUUUUAUUUUUAUUAUUUUUAUUAUAAUUUUGCUGUGCUUAAAAUGGUUUAAAGCUUUGAUUCAGUCAGUAGGCAAUUCAGGUGGAGUCUUAGGUGUAUAUUGACUCUUCUGCACUAAUCAUUGUUCUGCCAAGUUCUCCUGUUUUGGUUUAGGCACAAAGAAAUCGCUUUUAGUUGAGCUGUAGCUUGCUCACCUGUGAUUUUUCAGUUGUUGCCUGGUGCUUGUAAGUGUUGGACCUGAUCAUUAUUAGCUGUAGAAUAUUGGUUAAAAAUGUACACAUCUCCUAAAGGGGCAGGAAAAACAUGCUCCGUGCUGGCAUGCAUUGUAUUCCUGCCAACCAGAGGUCACGUUACAUCAGAGGCUGCUGCUCCUGGUAAUAAGUAGUCAAUGAUUUGAAGUGGCAAUACCAGCAAUUUUCUGAUCACUCGGUUAGGAUGGCAAUGCUUCUUGAGUUUGGCCUAGCGAUACACUAAUUUGUCAUGCUUCUUUUUAUCAUUGUGACAGCUGUAGGUUCUGAUACAGCUUUUAUGGGCUAUUAUGAAGUUCGUUUGCAUUGAGUUCAUAGCAGCUAACGUACCUGACCUUGCGUGGGAUGUGAGAAUAAUCCUUUCCCUCCCUCCUCCUCUUUUUUUAACCAUCAAAACCAUUAUUGACAUACAGUGUUUUGCUUCCCUGUUAUGCAUAGCUUGCUUGGAUUGCAGAGUUUAGUGCUAAAAAAAGGUUUAUUCAAGAUUUGGUGAAAUAGCCUGAAUCACAAAGUGCUAUUUGUAAAUAAUGCGCUUUCUCCAAUCUAUCUCAAAAAACCCUUAUGUGUCAGUUGUAUCUUACUUGAAGAUAGAAAUGGUAAUGUGUGAUUACUACUUUAUUUUUCAUGGAAGAGUGAAAUGUCUCAGCAUUCAUAUGUUUCACUAAGCCCACUUCUGGUUUUUAAGCCUUUUUUCUUUUGGAUAUGUUCAAUUCAUGAUGAACUGAGAAUAUCCAUUAGGCUUUCUGUGAGGAACAAAGUUGAAAUAUUAAAUAUGGAAAAUGACCAAAGAGUUUUCAUUAUUGUGUUUGGCUGAGUAACAAGUUUCUUGUUAUAUACCUCCAAAAGGCAGCUCUUUGUAACUGCAAAAUGUAUACAUUAUCCUUGGACAUUAUGCUGUUUGUACUGUUAUUAUACUGUUGUGUAUGGAGCACAGGUAUGAAUAAUCAGCCAUACAGGAAUACGCUGAAAAUGCAUUCAUUGAGAUUACAGCUUUAGAUCUUGCAGCAUGUCAUAUAUCUACUCUUCAGCUACAGAGCAAACUACUACUUGAUUUGCUAUCACACGAGUUUGUUUCAUCUUCUGAUUGAUGCGUUACUCGAGCCAGGAUUUGAAAUGUUACCUCAGCCCAGGCAACGAUCUUAUUUAAUAAGAGGGUAACAUAACAGAAAAACAAAGGAAUUGAUGGAAGUCAGCAUUCAGCCAUAUGUCUGAGAACACACCUUUCCACUUUGACAUUAUGUGUACAGGUACUGUGCUCUAGAGAAGACUACGUGAUAGCGUAAAUAACAACUUGUAACAGUAGUAAUCUGCAAUUAUCAUGAAUGGAAUCAAGUGCUGUGCUGAAUCCAAGUGCUGUGCUGACGUGUGAAAGAUGAUUAUCUGAAGUAUCUGAUGUUUUUUUGCAUAACCUCAUGCAAUGGUUUCCUGGUAAAAUCACUGAUUUUACCUUAUAUUCUGAAACUGUUAACUGACAAUUAAUAUAUAUUAGAUGUGAGUAUGUGUUCAGUAGCAGACACAGCUUUUUUCAAGGCAAAGAUCUGUUGUGGGCUGCUACAAGAGCUAGGUUCAUAAAAGCAGAGAACACAUCUCCAUUUUACUGUGUGAGAGCUCAUCUGUGCACAUCAGGGGCUCUUCAAGGAAGUGGCCACAGCCUGGAACAGUCUCUUCAACAGCUUACGUCUGGAAGACUGAUCUGUUCCAAAAUGUUACACGGAGAACCUGAGUGACACUGAAAUUGUGAGAUGGUAUCCAUGCCAAGGAACUUCUCAUUCUUCACAUACAGCUCACGUGAAUGUGGAGGGGAGGAGAUGAGCAUCAAAGAGCUGCAUGUGCAAUGCUUUAUACUGUUUCAAGAACAACUUUCUGCAAGUCCAGAAAGAGCCACAAUCUUAUUAGAUCAAUGCAUGAUUUAUUUACCUGUGAAACCAGCCUAAUUUCCUAUUAAAGAUUGUUCUCUUAUUGUCCAAGAAGAACUAACUUUUGCUUAUCUCUAUUUUUAUUAAUUUAUGGGAAGAUGGGAUCAGUGAAGUAGGGUUUGCAUUUUGCUAUGAGGGCAGACAAGCCUGUACCUCGCUGUGUCCAAAAUUUGCAUUUUACCCUAUAAUGUG